rnacentral:rRNA from 1 species
UACGGGGGGGGCAAGCGUUGUUCGGAAUUACUGGGCGUAAAGGGCUCGUAGGUGGCCAACUAAGUCAGACGUGAAAUCCCUCGGCUUAACCGGGGAACUGCGUCUGAUACUGGAUGGCUUGAGUUUGGGAGAGGGACGCGGAAUUCCAGGUGUAGUGGUGAAAUGCGUAGAGAUCCGGAGGAACACCAGUGGCGAAGGCGACACGCUGGGCCGUACCUGACACUGAUGCGCGACAGCAUGGGGAGCAAACAGG